rnacentral:rRNA from 1 species
AUGAGCUCGGGCGGCGGCAGCAGCACGCUUGGCGGCUGCGGCGGGCCGAGCGGGAGCGGCAGCGGCAGCGGAGGAGGAGGUGGAGGAGGAGGGCUUGGCGGCGGCGGCGGCGGGCCGUGCGGCGCGUGCAAGUUCCUCCGGCGCAAGUGCGUGAGCGAGUGCAUCUUCGCGCCCUACUUCGACUCGGAGCAAGGCGCGGCGCACUUCGCGGCGGUGCACAAGGUGUUCGGCGCCAGCAACGUGUCCAAGCUGCUCCUCCAGAUCCCCGCGCACAAGCGCCUCGACGCCGUCGUCACCAUCUGCUACGAGGCGCAGGCCCGCCUCCGCGACCCCGUCUACGGCUGCGUCGCCCACAUCUUCGCGCUCCAGCAGCAGGUGGUGAAUCUCCAGGCCGAGCUGACCUACCUGCAGACCCACCUGGCCACACUGGAGCUGCCGUCGCCGCCGCUGCCGGCUGCGCCGCAAAUGCCGAUGGCGAUGCCGGCCCAGUUUUCCAUCUCGGACCUGCCGUCCACGACCAACAUUCCGACCACCAUCGACCUGUCCGCGCUCUUCGAACCGCCGGCGCAACCGCAGUGGGCGCUCCAGCAGCAUCACCAGCACCAGCUCCGCCAGCAGCCGUCAUACGGCGCCAUGGCGCACAGGGGCGGCUCCAGCAGCAUGGCGGAGGGAUCGGUGGGCAGCGGCGACCUGCAGACGCUGGCGCGGGAGCUCCUGGACCGCCACGGCCGGUCCGGCGUGAAGCCCGAGCUGCAGCCACCGCCGCCGCCGCAUCCAAGAUGA